AACCUGCUGCUGAAUGUCUCCAUGCUUGGGAGAAGUUUAAUGAUUCCAAAGCACUGGAUCUGCAGGGGAUGAGAAGAAUCCUUUCCCAGAGACUUCUCUGCCAAAUGAAGACAAGACAAGAAGACUGAAGUUGGAACAGGAUUUCUGCUGAACAAAGCCAAGAGACGUGACCAGGAGCUGGCCUGACCUCAUGCACUGAACGAGACAGAAUUUACAGUGACUGAGACUGGAGCCCGAGUGCCUUAACUGGGUUUCCAGGAUGUAAAUAGUUUUCCAUGUUCUCUGUUCUGUUUUGGAGCCUCAGAAACAGUUCUGUUUUGUUACUUUUCUUACUGUUCAAUGCAAAGCACCUGCAUAUUUUUUUUGUUUGUUUUAAAUACAGUUUUAAGUUCUUUUGGCUA